UACAGAGGUCUCAAGCGUUGUUCGGAUUCAUUGGGCGUAAAGGGUGCGUAGGCGGCGCGGUAGGUCGGGUGUGAAAUCUUGGAGCUUAACUCCGAAACUGCAUUCGAUACUGCCGUGCUUGAGGACUGGAGAGGAGACUGGAAUUUACGGUGUAGCGGUGAAAUGCGUAGAUAUCGGGAGGAACACCGGUGGCGAAGGCGGCAUCCUGGACCAACACUGACGCUGAGGAGCGAAAAGCCAGGGGGA
rnacentral:rRNA from 1 species